CCUACGGGAGGCUGCAGUGAGGAAUAUUGGUCAAUGGGCGCGAGUCUGAACCAGCCAAGUCGCGUGAAGGAUGACUGCCCUACGGGUUGUAAACUUCUUUUAUAAAGGAAUAAAGUGAGGCACGUGUGCCUGUUUGUAUGUACCUUACGAAUAAGGAUCGGCUAACUCCGUGCCAGCAGCCGCGGUAAUACGGAGGAUCCGAGCGUUAUCCGGAUUUAUUGGGUUUAAAGGGAGCGUAGGUGGGUUGUUAAGUCAGUUGUGAAAGUUUGCGGCUCAACCGUAAAAUUGCAUUUGAUACUGGCAGUCUUGAGUACAGUUGAGGUAGGCGGAAUGCGUGGUGUAGCGGUGAAAUGCUUAGAUAUCACGAAGAACUCCGAUUGCGAAGGCAGCUUACUAAACUGCCACUGACGUUGAUGCUCGAAAGUGUGGGUAGCAAACAGGAUUAGAUACCCUGGUAGUC
rnacentral:rRNA from 1 species